UGGAAGCUAAAAAGUGCUCAAAGAAAGAAACUUACAAGCCAAAAAAGGUCGCCCGCCUCACCAAUAAAGCCUAUUUAAACUUUUUACGAAAUUUCAAGAAAAAAAAUAGCGGACUCCUGCCGCGAGAGAUGGUCAUGCGUGGUACUAAGGCUUGGUGUCGACUAAACAAACAGCAGAAGGAGAGAUACCGCAAAAUGCAGAAAAGCACCAAGCGCCGUUGCUAGCUAAUAAAGGGUAACCAUAACAUUCCCUUAACCAAAGCAUAAUUCGAUCGGUUUGAAAAAACCAGCAAAGGGGCAACAUAGUACCAUCCUAGUGUUUCUAAAUAGCCAUUGCGUCGUUGCCGAACCCAGAGGAAAACCAGACUGAGACUGCUUAGUCUUAGCCUUUGCUAAAAUAUGCCAUUAGUGUCGUAAAUAUCUAGUGUAAUUGAAAUUAAAUAAUGUCUAGUCCUUUAUAUUGAA